GAUGAACGCUGGCGGCGUGCUUAACACAUGCAAGUCGAACGAUGAAGCCCAGCUUGCUGGGUGGAUUAGUGGCGAACGGGUGAGUAACACGUGAGUAACCUGCCCCCGACUCUGGGAUAAGCCCGGGAAACUGGGUCUAAUACCGGAUAUUACCUUUGACCGCAUGGUUGUUGGUGGAAAGAUUUAUCGGUGGGGGAUGGACUCGCGGCCUAUCAGCUUGUCGGUGAGGUAAUGGCUCACCAAGGCGACGACGGGUAGCCGGCCUGAGAGGGUGACCGGCAACACUGGGACUGAGACACGGCCCAGACUCCUACGGGAGGCAGCAGUGGGGAAUAUUGCACAAUGGGCGCAAGCCUGAUGCAGCGACGCCGCGUGAGGGAUGACGGCCUUCGGGUUGUAAACCUCUUUCAGUAGGGGAGAAGCGAAAGUGACGGUACCUGCAGAAGAAGCGCCGGCUAACUACGUGCCAGCCGCCGCCGUAAGAC
rnacentral:rRNA from 1 species